rnacentral:rRNA from 1 species
UACGUAGGGGGCAAGCGUUGUCCGGAAUCAUUGGGCGUAAAGAGCGCGUAGGCGGCCCUGUAAGUCCGCUGUGAAAGUCAAGGGCUCAACCCUUGGAUGCCGGUGGAUACUGCAGGGCUAGAGUCCGGAAGAGGCGAGUGGAAUUCCUGGUGUAGCGGUGAAAUGCGCAGAUAUCAGGAGGAACACCGGUGGCGAAGGCGGGUCUCUGGGCCGAUGACUGACGCUGGAGGAGCGAAAGCGUGGGGAGCGAACAGG